AUGAGUUUGCUUCGAUAUUUAAACAUUGCGAGACCAGAUAAUUAUGAACUUGAUUUUCUUAUCGGAGUGAGGAACAACAGUAACACGGUCGAUUACCUAUCUUUUCUCGGAGGUAGAACUCCUGGCGUCAAUGUGAGAAGAAUGAUGUGCCGACAGGACCAAUGCCAUUUGAGGCCUGCCAGAAGAACCACCCAAGACCCUGAAGAAGACGGUUGAAAUUUGCAUUUCAGAUACCCUGUGAUAUGCUCCCCACAGACGGAGUCAGGUGGAUAAAGCAGGUGGACCGUCUGUGACAGAGGACGAUAAUGCAAGUGGACUGUCUGUGACGGAGAACGAUCAUGCAGGUGGACCGUCUGUGGUUCAGAGCCAUGAAAAUAUAGCAGUGCUUGAGGGGAGCAGAAGCCCCUCAUUGUUGGAGGACUCUGACAAAAAUUUUUUUUCUGUCUUUUUGAAGUUUAAAAUGAAUAAAAUUAAUCUUUUUUUCUCAUCGAUCUAAUCAAUAAAUAAGCUAAAAUUUCUAAAAAUAUGUUUUUGCUUAGUCAUAAUUAUUAUUUCAUUGUUCGAAGACAUUUUAUGCCUUUUUGUCGAUUUUUUCUUGUAUUAUUGUAUUACAAACUGUAUUUUGUGUUACUGUUGCCAAAAAGUUAAGUUAAAAGUUUAUGUUUAAAGUGUGGGCUUUGCCAGUUUUUGUUGAUUUUUUGGUCUUUUUGGUUCUAAAGGAUCGUGUAGUGGGGAAAUGAAAAUGAAUGAAAAGUUACUGCAAAACAUGUAUAGAUUUUUUUAAAAGCAUGUUAUCUAACUCUUAAAUAGUAUCAUUCCAGGAACAUUAAAAACUUUCAUCUGAAAAUGUUUUAAGAACAUUUGGGCAUAAUGUUCUAACAGAG
rnacentral:lncRNA from 1 species